UACGUGUGGGGCAAGCGUUGUUCGGAAUUACUGGGCUUAAAGGGUUCGUAGGCGGCCUGUUAAGUCAGGGGUGAAAUCCCACGGCCCAACCGUGGAAUUGCCUUUGAUACUGAUGGGCUUGAGUGUGUUAGGGGUAAGCGGAACGUGUGGUGUAGCGGUGAAAUGCGUAGAUAUCACACGGAAGGCCGGAGGCGAAGGCGGCUUACUGGGACACAACUGACGCUGAGGAACGAAAGCGUGGGGAGCAAACAGG
rnacentral:rRNA from 1 species